UUACACUUCAUGUUUACUCAUUUCAGGUACUCAUCCAGAUGUGUGGAGAUUUUCAGUUACCGCCUUGAUUUAACCUGUUGCGGAUCGAGAAAUUGACGCCAUCGAGGUCACGUCCACACAACUUCAUGACCUGAUCCAGAAGCCUUUUGAAGAAGGAUACGCGCACUGUUGAUGUUUCAGUCAUGCAAACAUGGUCUUCCUCACAAGGUCCACACGCUGGUCUGUGAUCCUCCCAUUGGCCGACGAGUAAGAGUUGCAGUUUUCCUUGUGUGCUUGUCUGAAAUGCAAAAAUAAAAGAUUAAAAAAAGAA